ACUAAGUACAACAACAUGGAGCCAGAUGCUGUUGAUUUCUUUGGGGAAUGUAUGAAUAGUCCCCGAAAUGGUCGUACUCCGCUUGCAAAUGAGAUAUAUGAGCAAAUGGUUGCAGAGAAGGAAAGAGAGCUAGAAGAAGGAGAAGCACAAAAGUCACCCUCCAAGAUUGUUGCUGAUAGUCUCAGCCAGAUCAGUCACUCAUCCACCUUCCUUCCAAACAUUGGUGUCUGUUUGAAUGCUUCAAACCUUUGUGGUGGAACCUUUGUAUGUUUGAACCUCUGUUGUGGAAGAACUAGUGUGCUGGAAUUGUGUAUGACUUGUGAUGAAAAUGUUGUGUAUGAUGGCUUUUCUGUGUAUUAUGAUUCUGUGAGCUAUCAUGAGAGCUCAGUGUGUCGUCACUGUAUGGUCACUGUAUGUGGGUGCCAUAUUAAACGAUCCCAACAUUAGGUGA